UACAGAGGGCUCAAGCGUUGUUCGGAUUCAUUGGGCGUAAAGGGUGCGUAGGCGGCGCGGUAAGUCGGGUGUGAAAUCUUGGAGCUUAACUCCGAAACUGCAUUCGAUACUGCCGUGCUUGAGGACUGGAGAGGAGACUGGAAUUUACGGUGUAGCGGUGAAAUGCGUAGAUAUCGUGAGGAAGACCAGUGGCGAAGGCGGGUCUCUGGACAGUUCCUGACGCUGAGGCACGAAGGCCAGGGGAGCAAACGGG
rnacentral:rRNA from 1 species